rnacentral:rRNA from 1 species
GACGAACGCUGGCGGCGUGCUUAACACAUGCAAGUCGAACGGAAAGGCCCUGCUUUUGUGGGGUGCUCGAGUGGCGAACGGGUGAGUAACACGUGAGUAACCUGCCCUUGACUUUGGGAUAACUUCAGGAAACUGGGGCUAAUACCGGAUAGGAGCUCCUGCUGCAUGGUGGGGGUUGGAAAGUUUCGGCGGUUGGGGAUGGACUCGCGGCUUAUCAGCUUGUUGGUGGGGGAGUGGCUUACCAAGGCUUUGACGGGUAGCCGGCCUGAGAGGGUGACCGGAGUCAGGGCGACUGAGGGACGGCCCAGUCGGGAAUGGUGGACAAUAGUGGGAAAUAUGGCACAGGGGGGGGGCGUCGGAGGAAACGACCGCGGGGUUGUAAAGACGGUUUGCGGGGGAAGAAAACGCAUAGCCGGUGACGCAGCGUGAGUGACGGUAACGUAAUAAGAAGCACCGGCUAACUACGUG